GACGAACGCUGGCGGCGUGCUUAACACAUGCAAGUCGAACGGGGCACCCCUGACGGAGUUUUCGGACAACAGAAGGGAAUGCUUAGUGGCGGACGGGUGAGUAACGCGUGAGGAACCUGCCUUUCAGAGGGGGACAACAGUUGGAAACGACUGCUAAUACCGCAUAACAUAUAUGGGCCGCAUGGUCUGUAUAUCAAAGAUUUAUCGCUGAAAGAUGGCCUCGCGUCUGAUUAGAUAGUUGGCGGGGUAACGGCCCACCAAGUCGACGAUCAGUAGCCGGACUGAGAGGUUGAACGGCCACAUUGGGACUGAGAUACGGCCCAGACUCCUACGGGAGGCAGCAGUGGGGAAUAUUGGGCAAUGGGCGCAAGCCUGACCCAGCAACGCCGCGUGAAGGAAGAAGGCUUUCGGGUUGUAAACUUCUUUUAUCAGGGAAGAUGAAUGAGAC
rnacentral:rRNA from 1 species